rnacentral:rRNA from 1 species
UACGUAGGGGCGAGCGUUGUCCGGAUUUAUUGGGCGUAAAGAGCGUGUAGGCGGCCAGGUAGGUCCGUUGUGAAAACUCGAGGCUCAACCUCGAGACGUCGGCGGAAACCCUCUGGCUAGAGUCCGGAAGAGGAGAGUGGAAUUCCUGGUGUAGCGGUGAAUGCGCAGAUAUCAGGAAGAACACCCGUGGCGAAGGCGGCUCUCUGGACGGUACUGACGCUGAGACGCGAAAGCGUGGGAGCAAACAGG